rnacentral:rRNA from 1 species
GAUUCCUACGGGAGGCAGCAGUGGGGAAUAUUGCACAAUGGGCGCAAGCCUGAUGCAGCGACGCCGCGUGAGGGAUGACGGCCUUCGGGUUGUAAACCUCUUUCAGCACAGACGAAGCGCAAGUGACGGUAUGUGCAGAAGAAGGACCGGCCAACUACGUGCCAGCAGCCGCGGUAAUACGUAGGGUCCGAGCGUUGUCCGGAAUUACUGGGCGUAAAGAGCUCGUAGGUGGUUUGUCGCGUUGUUCGUGAAAACUCACAGCUUAACUGUGGGCGUGCGGGCGAUACGGGCAGACUAGAGUACUGCAGGGGAGACUGGAAUUCCUGGUGUAGCGGUGGAAUGCGCAGAUAUCAGGAGGAACACCGGUGGCGAAGGCGGGUCUCUGGGCAGUAACUGACGCUGAGGAGCGAAAGCGUGGGGAGCGAACAGGAUUAGAUACCCUGGUAGUCCACGCCGUAAACGGUGGGUACUAGGUGUGGGUUUCCUUCCUUGGGAUCCGUGCCGUAGCUAACGCAUUAAGUACCCCGCCUGGGGAGUACGGCCGCAAGGCUAAAACUCAAAGGAAUUGACGGGGGCCCGCACAAGCGGCGGAGCAUGUGGAUUAAUUCGAUGCAACGCGAAGAACCUUACCUGGGUUUGACAUGCACAGGACGCUGGUAGAGAUAUCAGUUCCCUUGUGGCCUGUGUGCAGGUGGUGCAUGGCUGUCGUCAGCUCGUGUCGUGAGAUGUUGGGUUAAGUCCCGCAACGAGCGCAACCCUUGUCCUAUGUUGCCAGCGGGUUAUGCCGGGGACUCGUAGGAGACUGCCGGGGUCAACUCGGAGGAAGGUGGGGAUGACGUCAAGUCAUCAUGCCCCUUAUGUCCAGGGCUUCACACAUGCUACAAUGGCCGGUACAAAGGGCUGCGAUGCCGUGAGGUGGAGCGAAUCCUUUCAAAGCCGGUCUCAGUUCGGAUCGGGGUCUGCAACUCGACCCCGUGAAGUCGGAGUCGCUAGUAAUCGCAGAUCAGCAACGCUGCGGUGAAUACGUUCCCGGGCCUUGUACACACCGCCCGU